GAUGAACGCUGGCGGCGUGCCUAAUAUAUGCAAGUCGAGCGAAUGGAUUAAGAGCUUGCUCUUAUGAAGUUAGCGGCGGACGGGUGAGUAACACGUGGGUAACCUGCCCAUAAGACUGGGAUAACUCCGGGAAACCGGGGCUAAUACCGGAUAACAUUUUGAACCGCAUGGUUCGAAAUUGAAAGGCGGCUUCGGCUGUCACUUAUGGAUGGACCCGCGACGCAUUAGCUAGUUGGUGAGGUAACGGCUCACCAAGGCAACGAUGCGUAGCCGACCUGAGAGGGUGAUCGGCCACACUGGGACUGAGACACGGCCCAGACUCCUACGGGAGGCAGCAGUAGGGAAUCUUCCGCAAUGGACGAAAGUCUGACGGAGCAACGCCGCGUGAGUGAUGAAGGCUUUCGGGUCGUAAAACUCUGUUGUUAGGGAAGAACAAGUGCUAGUUGAAUAAGCUGGCACCUUGACGGUACCUAACCAGAAAGCCACGGCUAACUACGUGCCAGCAGCCGCAGUAA
rnacentral:rRNA from 1 species